rnacentral:tRNA from 1 species
GGGGCCGUAGUCUAGCCUGGUAGGACUGGGGCCAUAUCGUUGGCGGCCCCACUAAGGCGCGGCUUGGGCCCGCGAGGACCCGGGUUCAAAUCCCGGCGGCCCCA